rnacentral:misc_RNA from 1 species
AAGUCGUAACAAGGUUUCCGUAGGUGAACCUGCGGAAGGAUCAUUAACGAGUUAAAGUCGCUCGACCGUGCUGGUGGAGACACAUGUGCACGUUGGUCGCAAACCUCAUCCACACACCUGUGAAUCUAUGGCCUUCAGGUCUCUGACCCGGGGGCAACCUUUUUUACCCACUCUGUUCGUAAAGGAAUGUCAUAGUGUGAUAAACACAAAUGAAACAACUUUCAACAACGGAUCUCUUGGCUCUC